GAUGGACGCUGGCGGCGUGCCUAAUACAUGCAAGUCGAGCGAACGGACGAGAAGCUUGCUUCUCUGAUGUUAGCGGCGGACGGGUGAGUAACACGUGGAUAACCUACCUAUAAGACUGGGAUAACUUCGGGAAACCGGAGCUAAUACCGGAUAAUAUUUUGAACCGCAUGGUUCAAAAGUGAAAGACGGUCUUGCUGUCACUUAUAGAUGGAUCCGCGCUGCAUUAGCUAGUUGGUAAGGUAACGGCUUACCAAGGCAACGAUGCAUAGCCGACCUGAGAGGGUGAUCGGCCACACUAGAACUGAGACACGGUCCAGACUCCUACGGGAGGCAGCAGUAGGGAAUCUUCCGCAAUGGGCGAAAGCCUGACGGAGCAACGCCGCGUGAGUGAUGAAGGUCUUCGGAUCGUAAAACUCUGUUAUUAGGGAAGAACAUAUGUGUAAGUAACUGUGCACAUCUUGACGGUACCUAAUCAGAAAGCCACGGCUAACUACGUG
rnacentral:rRNA from 1 species